AUUUAUUGUUUCACGUUUCUAUGUAAAAUCUAAAAAGACAUUUUCUAAUUUUCCAUAUCAUUUUCAAUGUUCACUACACUCCAUGCAUAGAAAACUGAAAAAACAUCUUGGAGGUUGAGUGACACAUUGAGCUAUUAAUAUAGGAAAUGAAUAGGACUAGACACAAAACCGUGACCCAGCCCAACCACAUAAUCUCAUUUAUAAUUGUUUCUUUUCUCUACUAACCCUAGCUCAAAGCCGUCGCGGUCCUCCUCUUUCACUUUCUCUCCUCACCUCCUUCAGCCUACGCCAUUCUUCAUCUUAUUGAAGCUAUAUCUUUGUCUUCCUUCUUCUUUGCAAGGUUACCUAACUCUAAACUUCACUAUUUUAAAUUUUUCUCUCUUCCUUUUUUCGUGUUUAGCAAAGGUUGAAGAACCGAAAUGGAUAAAGAGGAGCUAUAAAUCCAAAACUUAUUAAAACUUAUUUUUUGGCCAUUAAAGUGUUUAAAUUUGGAAUUAAUGAUUUCGUUUUCAAUUUGUAUAAUUCAUUUGUGAUUAAAUUUGACAUUAUUGUUUUCAUUUUAGUCCGCCAUUAAUAUUUAUUGGCCAUUAAUAUGUUUGAAUAUUUGUUAUAGUUCAAAAUUCUGGGGAUUUAUUUUUUUUAGAAGGUAAUAGAUCAAUUUAAAUAUUAAUCAUUUUAUAUUUAGGUUAAAUAGACAAUAAAAUGAAUUAUAUUAUGGAAAAAUUGAAGUUUUCUAACUAUAUUGGGUCUUAAAUUUUAUCGGCGCAAUAACCCGAACAAACUGUUUGAAUUAACCUGUAACCUGCUAAGACCCAACCUGUCUAAACCAAAUUUUAUUUUGGGCUAAAUGGGCCUUGAUGUUCCAUCUGCAGGUUGUGUUGUGUUGUUCUUUUUACGUUGAAUGCGUCCUACCCGGCCCGUUGUUCACCCCUAAAAACGAACAUAACUCUCUAUCAAUACAAUCAUUGUUGAUGUUGUUGUGGAACCCGCUGCUGUCACUUUUUAUCCAUCAUAAAUCGCUGUCAAAUUUAAGUUGUUUAUUUGUUUGAAUAAAUGUCUAAAUGAAAGGAAGGAGGUGAGUCUAUCAUGUGUAUUCAACUUUUAUGUGAAGAUAAAGGAGGUGAGUAGCUAGCCGACUUUCAAUGAAUGUAAUCAAUGCAAUAUAAAUAAUGGCUCGCCAAAGGUGUUUUACUUAUGUUGAUUUCGUUUUGAAAAACUAUUUGCAAGCUCGAUUAUGGCCACGACUUCAAAGUAAAUGUUGGAAUGGUAAAUAACUUUAUGCCCUUUGGAACUA